GUCAGUAUCCAUAGCAGUAUUUGCCACUAAAAUUUUGGCAUUCUCUAUGCGUUUGGGUUGGCCAAUACCAAUUUUCUUGUCAAGAAUGAACCCUUCAUCUAAAAAGGAAUCCUUCAAUGAUCCUCCAGGUUUCUUGAUGAUUUGAAUCGACUCUAAGUUGGUGCUCCCCUUUAGCCUCAUUACAGCAUCCACUGCCAAUUUAGCAAAAUGCUCCUUGUCCUGUGAGAGAAUUUUGGAACUCAAAGUAGUCAUUGCAAUCUUCAUCAAGUCUGAUUUAAAUUUCUCUAGAUCUGCUUUGUUA
rnacentral:misc_RNA from 1 species